GAUGAACGCUAGCGGCGGGCCUAAUACAUGCAAGUUGAACGGGAUUGUUGGUAGCAAUAUUGACAUGAGAGUGGCGCACGGGUGCGUAACACGUAUGUAACCUACCUUUAACUGGGGCAUAGCUUCGAGAAAUCGAAAUUAAUACCCCAUAACAUUUAGAAAAGGCAUCUUUUCUUUAUCAAAGCUCAGGCGGUUAAGGAUGGACAUGCGGUGCAUUAGCUUGUUGGUGAGGUAACGGCUCACCAAGGCUACGAUGCAUAGGGGGUCUGAGAGGAUGAUCCCCCCACACUGGUACUGAGACACGGACCAGACUCCUACGGGAGGCAGCAGUAGGGAAUAUUGGGCAAUGGACGAAAGUCUGACCCAGCCACGCCGCGUGAAGGAUGAAUGCCCUCUGGGUUGUAAACUUCUUUUGUAUGGGAAGAAAAUUCCGAACGUGUUCGGAGCUGACGGUACCAUAAGAAUAAGCAUCGGCUAACUCCGUGCCAGCAGCCG
rnacentral:rRNA from 1 species